rnacentral:rRNA from 1 species
UUUCCAGACUCCUACGGGAGGCAGCAGUGGGGAAUAUUGGACAAUGGGGGGAACCCUGAUCCAGCGACGCCGCGUGAGUGAAGAAGUAUUUCGGUAUGUAAAGCUCUAUCAGCAGGGAAGAAGAAAUGACGGUACCUGACUAAGAAGCCCCGGCUAACUACGUGCCAGCAGCCGCGGUAAUACGUAGGGGGCAAGCGUUAUCCGGAUUUACUGGGUGUAAAGGGAGCGUAGGCGGCGAUGCAAGUCAGAAGUGAAAGCCCGGGGCUCAACUCCGGGACUGCUUUUGAAACUGUAUGGCUAGAUUGCAGGAGAGGCAAGUGGAAUUCCUAGUGUAGCGGUGAAAUGCGUAGAUAUUAGGAGGAACACCAGUGGCGAAGGCGGCUUGCUGGACUGUAAAUGACGCUGAGGCUCGAAAGCGUGGGGAGCAAACAGGAUUAGAUACCCUGGUAGA